UACAGAGGGUGCAAGCGUUGUUCGGAAUUAUUGGGCGUAAAGGGCGCGUAGGCGGGCAGGUAAGUCAGUGGUGAAAUCUCCGAGCUUAACUCGGAAACUGCCGUUGAUACUAUUUGUCUUGAAUAUUGUGGAGGUAAGCGGAAUAUGUCAUGUAGCGGUGAAAUGCUUAGAUAUGACAUAGAACACCAAUUGCGAAGGCAGCUUACUACACAACGAUUGACGCUGAGGCACGAAAGCGUGGGGAUCAAACAGG
rnacentral:rRNA from 1 species